rnacentral:rRNA from 1 species
GAUGAACGCUAGCUACAGGCUUAACACAUGCAAGUCGAACGGAGUGGCGAACGGGUGAGUAAUGUAUCGGAACGUGCCCAGUCGCGGGGGAUAACUACGCGAAAGCGUAGCUAAUACCGCAUACUAUUGGAGCGGCCGAUAUCGGAUUUGCUAGUUGGUGGGGUAACGGCUCACCAAGGCGACGAUCCGUAGCUGGUUUGAGAGGCCGACCAGCCACACUGGAACUGAGACACGGCCCAGACUCCUACGGGAGGCAGCAGUGGGGAAUUUUGGACAAUGGGGGAAACCCUGAUCCAGCCAUCCCGCGUGUGCGAUGAAGGCCUUCGGGUUGUAAAGCACUUUUGGCAGGAAAGCGGUACCUAAAGAAUAAGCACCGGCUAACUACGUGCCAGCAGCCGCGGUAAUAC